rnacentral:rRNA from 1 species
UAGGGAAUCUUCGGCAAUGGACGAAAGUCUGACCGAGCAACGCCGCGUGAGUGAAGAAGGUUUUCGGAUCGUAAAACUCUGUUGUUAGAGAAGAACAAGGACGUUAGUAACUGAACGUCCCCUGACGGUAUCUAACCAGAAAGCCACGGCUAACUACGUGCCAGCAGCCGCGGUAAUACGUAGGUGGCAAGCGUUGUCCGGAUUUAUUGGGCGUAAAGCGAGCGCAGGCGGUUUCUUAAGUCUGAUGUGAAAGCCCCCGGCUCAACCGGGGAGGGUCAUUGGACACUGGGAGACUUGAGUGCAGAAGAGGAGAGUGGAAUUCCAUGUGUAGCGGUGAUAUGCGUAGAUAUAUGGAGGAACACCAGUGGCGAAGGCGGCUCUCUGGUCUGUCACUGACGCUGAGGCUCGAAAGCGUGGGGAGCAAACAGG